UACGUAGGGGGCAAGCGUUGUCCGGAAUCAUUGGGCGUAAAGAGCGUGUAGGCGGCCCGGUAAGUCCGCCGUGAAAGUCCAGGGCUCAACCCUGGAAUGCCGGUGGAAACUGUCGGGCUAGAGUCCGGAAGAGGCGAGUGGAAUUCCUGGUGUAGCGGUGAAAUGCGCAGAUAUCAGGAAGAACACCAACGGCGAAGGCAGCUCGCUGGGACGGUACUGACGCUGAGACGCGAAGCGUGGGGGAGCGAACAGGAUAGAUACC
rnacentral:rRNA from 1 species